ACCCAGGAAAGCCAUUGGUGGAAUUUAGUCCAAGGCCAAACCUGAAGACCAGAGCUGAUGAUUUAACUCCUGGUCCAAGGGCAGGAGAAGAUGACAUGAGAUGUCCCAGAUGAAGCAGUGAGGCAGGAAAAAAAGGAGGCCAAUUCCUCCUUCUGCCUUUUGUUCUAUUUAGACCUUCAAUGGAUUGAAUGAUACCCAACCACAUUUGGGAGAACAAUAUACUUUGCUGAGCCCUCCAAUUCAAAUGUGAAUUUCAUCAGGAAACACUCUCACAGACGUACCAAGAAAUAAUGCUUAAUCUGGGUACCUCAUAGUCCAUUCCAGUUGACAUAUGAAAUUAACCAUAUAGUGUCAAUUGAAAUGAUCAUGUGGUUUUUGUCUUUUAUUCUAUUAAUAUGGUAUAUUUCACUGAUUAAUUUUUGUAUGUUGAACCAAGUUUGCAUUUCUGGAAUAAGUCUCACUUUAUCUUGGUGAAUAAUCCUUGUUAU
rnacentral:lncRNA from 1 species